AGUCCAGAAUAUCAUCAAACUGCAAAUUUGAAGAAGGGUAGGAUUACCCCUGGGCUU
rnacentral:tRNA from 1 species